UGCCCUGAUUUUCAAGAGGGGCAAGAAGAAGGACCCCAGAAACUACAGGCCAGUCAGUCUCACUUCAGUGUCUGGUAAAGUUACGGAGAAGAUUAUUCUGGGAGGUAUUGAAAAACACCUGAAAGACAAUACAGUCACCGGCCACAGCCAGCACGGCUUCACAAGAGGAAAGUC